rnacentral:rRNA from 1 species
AUUGAACGCUGGCGGCAGGCCUAACACAUGCAAGUCGAACGAGUGGCGGACGGGGGAGUAAUGUAUGGGAAACUGCCCGAAGGAGGGGGAUAACUAUUGAAAACGGUAGAUAAUCCUGCAUACCAUCGGAUGAGCCCAGAGGGGAUUAGCUAGUAGGAGGGGUAACGGCUCACCUAGGCGACGAUCCCUAGCUGGUCUGAGAGGAUGACCAGCCACACGGGAACGAGGCCACGCGCCAGACUCCUACGUGAGGCAGCAGUGGGGAAUAUUGCACAAUGGGCGCAAGCCUGAUGCAGCCAUGCCGCGUGUAUGAAGAAGGCCUUCGGGUUGUAAAGUACUUUCAGCGAGGAGGCGGUACUCGCAGAAGAAGCACCGGCUAACUCCGUGCCAGCAGCCGCGGUAAUAC